GCAAUGGUGGUUCGGUGGCAGAAUUCUCGCCUUCCAUGUGGGAGACCUGGGUUUGAUUCCCUGCCAAUGCA
rnacentral:tRNA from 1 species